GUACUCACUUUGGUCGUACAUAUUCUAUAACUGGAACUAUGGAGAAAAGAUUACCAUGGCUCUGCGCAAGGAUGACGCACAAAAUCGUGAAGCGAUGCUGGCACGU